AUGUUAGAUUUAAAAAAGAACAACAGAUUCAGGAGAUUAAUACAUACCAGUCCUCAUGGCGAACAACUUUCAUCAACAAACAACUUGGAUAAAAUGUUCAAGUGUAGCAUAUGCAGCAUAUUGCAAAAGGCCACAAGGUUAACACUGUUAAAGAAAAGGCCACUGCCACCUUGUUUUCAUUUCAAAUAUUCUAAAAUAUGGCAGCAUUUAUUCUGCAGAAUCAAAAUCAAGAACCAUAGACACAAACAAAUCUCUUUAGUACAUAGCAGUUAUCACAAAAUAAGAUCUCAGCGAUAA